rnacentral:rRNA from 1 species
UACGUAGGUGGCAAGCGUUGUCCGGAUUUACUGGGCGUAAAGCGCGUGUAGGCGGGUUGUUAAGUCCGCUGUGAAAGCCCGGUGCUCAACGCCGGAGGGUCGGUAGAUACUGGCAGUCUUGAAGUGGCUAGGGGGAAAUGGAAUUCCCGGUGUAGCGGUGAAAUGCGCAGAUAUCAGGAGGAACACCGAUGGCGAAGGCAGGUCUCUGGGCAUUAACUGACGCUGAGGAGCGAAAGCAUGGGGAGCGAACAGG